UAAGACGAACCGUGCGAACGUUAUUCGGAAUCACUGGGCUUAAAGCGCGUGUAGGCGGGCCGGCACGUCCGUGGCUGAAAGCCCCCGGCUCAACCGGGGAAGUGGCGCGGAUACGGCCGGCCUGGAGGGGGGUAGGGGGACCUGGAACUUCCGGUGGAGCGGUGAAAUGCGUUGAGAUCGGAAGGAACGCCCGUGGCGAAAGCGAGGUCCUGGACCCUUUCUGACGCUGAGACGCGAAAGCCAGGGGAGCGAACGGGAUUAGAUACCCCGGUAGUCCUGGCCGUAAACGAUGAGCACUGGGUAGGGGGCUCGCCGAUGGGCUCCCUGCCGCAGGGAAACCGUGAAGUGCUCCGCCUGGGGAGUAUGGUCGCAAGGCUG
rnacentral:rRNA from 1 species